rnacentral:rRNA from 1 species
GGCCUACGGGAGGCAGCAGUGAGGAAUAUUGGUCAAUGGCCGAGAGGCUGAACCAGCCAAGUCGCGUGAGGGAAGAAUGUCCUAAGGAUUGUAAACCUCUUUUGUCGGGGAGCAAAAAGGCUCUGCGGAGUCGUAUUGAGAGUACCCGAAGAAAAAGCAUCGGCUAACUCCGUGCCAGCAGCCGCGGUAAUACGGAGGAUGCGAGCGUUAUCCGGAUUUAUUGGGUUUAAAGGGUGCGUAGGUUGUUUUUUAAGUCAGCGGUGAAAGUUUGUGGCUCAACCAUAAAAUUGCCGUUGAAACUGGAA